rnacentral:rRNA from 1 species
GACAUAGGUCGCGAACGUUAUCCGGAAUUAUUGGGCGUAAAGGAUGCGUAGAUGGUUCGGUAAGUUACUGAUGGGAAAUCGAGGCCCAACCUCGUGGAAGUUAGUAAUACUGUCGAGCUUGAGUGCAGGAGAGGUUAACGGAACUUCAUGUGGAGCGGUAAAAUGCGCAGAUAUCAGGAGGAACACCGGUGGCGAAGGCGGGUCUCUGGGCCGAUACUGACGCUGAGGAGCGAAAGCGUGGGGAGCGAACAGG